rnacentral:rRNA from 1 species
GAUGAACGCUGGCGGCGUGCCUAAUACAUGCAAGUCGAGCGAAGCGGGGACGUGUGAGUAAAACGUGGAUAACCUCCUCUAAGACUGGGAUAACUUCGGAAAACCGGUCCUAAAACGGAUACUUUUAUCUGAACCCCCUCUUCAUUAGCUAGUUGGUAAGGUAACGGCUUACCAAGCCAACGAUGCAUAGCCGACCGGAGAGGGUGAUCGGCCACACUGGAACUGAGACACGGUCCAGACUCCUACGGGAGACAGCAGUAGGGAAUCUUCCGCAAUGGGCGAAAGCCUGACGGAGCAACGCCGCGUGAGUGAUGAAGGUCUUCGGAUCGUAAAACUCUGUUAUUAGGGAAGCGGUACCUAAUCAGAAAGCCACGGCUAACUACGUGCCAGCAGCCGCGGUAAUUC